CUGGCGGGUCACCGAUUGUACAACACGGCCCUGGGCAGUGAACAUUAACAGAAGUUACCGAGCGUCAAGGCGCGCGCUGAGGGACGGUCAACGUCCGGCGUGCCGACGCUCGCGUGCAAAUCAAGCGCUUGCAUUCUCCUUGGUCUCCGGGCGGGCGCGAUGGCCGCUUGGGGAUACCGCUCACCCCUUUCAAAGGCCUGGCGUCACGUCGCCCCAUCGGUACGUUUGGCACGCUUGAUGAACUUACAUUUAUGGCCCAGCUUGUUCCAAUCGACUGAUUUUGCCGAAAUCAGGAGGCUUGUGAGUGAGUGAGUGAUGAGUGAGUGAGUGGAACGGAGUUUGGAGCGAAGCCUGACUUCAUUCUCGUCCAUUUUCAUAAGGCACGUGGUCUCGCUGCUCCAGGAGUUACGCGACGUGACCGACCCUCGAAGCCCCCCUCCGCUGAGCUGCCAUCGUGCGUCAUCCCAGUUUAACCCGGCCGGCGUUGGCCUCGAACAAACUCACCAAAGGUCACCUCACUGUUUGCCCGACGCUCACGUAACGCAAAGCAGAAAGAAGAAUCAGCAGCCAGUUGUAAUGAAAAUAAAUACAUCUGUUUUAUUCUUCGUAUUUCUAGCGAGUGAGCCCUCCCCGCAUUAAGGCGCAACUUCCACGAGUGUGAUUCACAAAUAUG